UCCUAGCCCCGAUAGAAGUGGAAAUCCUUUUGUGGCGGGGUUCGCCACAAAAGAUUGGAACGAAUAGCGGGAUUAGCU
rnacentral:sRNA from 1 species